rnacentral:lncRNA from 1 species
AAAGCCUUUCUCAGCUGGGUAGGUUCUCGGCAGCACCUUCCGUGACUUCAGGGGAUUUGUUCUCAGCAGGAAAGGCUGCUCAGAGAACUUGGGCCCAUUUCUGUUUAAGCCUUCUUGUGGAACGUUUCUCCAACAGCACCAGCUUGUUUCUGGAGCUUGAUCCUUUCCCAACCCUGAAUCGACUGUUACCGAACAGUUGAAGCUGAACAGGAAGGAAUUGCAGGUGUCAACUCACAGUUUACAAAUAUGACAUCUCCUCUGGCAUAGCUGGAAAUAUGAAAUAUUGAUUUAUGUGCAGUAAAAGGUCUUAUAAAAAUGAUCACAUACACAUGAGAGAUUAAUGCGCUGGAGAUCAAUAGAAAUUUCAUUCUUGACGCUAGACUGUCACCUAUGGUGAAAUGCUAAAAUACAGAAAUCAAUAUUAUCUAUGAAAUGUCAAAUUUAUUAUAAUUAUGAGGAUGAAAGCUGGCCAAG